UACGGAGGAUGCAAGCGUUAUCCGGAUUCAUUGGGUUUAAAGGGUGCGCAGGCGGGAGAUUAAGUCGGCGGUGAAAUUUUGCAGCUCAACUGUAAAAGUGCCUUCGAAACUGGUUUCCUUGAGUGUAGAUGAAGUAGGCGGAAUUUGUGGUGUAGCGGUGAAAUGCAUAGAUAUCACGAGGAACUCCGAUUGCGAAGGCAGCUUACUAAGCUACUACUGACGCUCAGGCACGAAGGCGUGGGGAUCAAACAGGAUUAGAUACCCGCGUA
rnacentral:rRNA from 1 species